rnacentral:rRNA from 1 species
CAGUAGCCGCGGUAAAACGUAGGGUGCAAGCGUUAAUCGGAAUUACUGGGCGUAAAGCGUGCGCAGGCGGUUAUGUAAGACAGUUGUGAAAUCCCCGGGCUCAACCUGGGAACUGCAUCUGUGACUGCAUAGCUAGAGUACGGUAGAGGGGGAUGGAAUUCCGCGUGUAGCAGUGAAAUGCGUAGAUAUGCGGAGGAACACCGAUGGCGAAGGCAAUCCCCUGGACCUGUACUGACGCUCAUGCACGAAAGCGUGGGGAGCAAACAGGAUUAGAUACCCCUGUAGUCCCUGUCUCUUAUAA